rnacentral:lncRNA from 1 species
GGGGUAUAUGGCAAACCUCUCUACCUUCUUAGUUUUACCGUGAAUCUAAAGCUGCUCUAAAAAUACAGUCUAAAAGAAAGAGAGGGUCUGCACAGGUCCAUUUCCAUGUUUUCCUCUUCUUUUUUGUUCUUAUUCUCGUCUCUUUUUUUUUUUCAUGUGAGAAACAAACACUCUUUGGGAAGUAAAUUUUUCUCAUCUUGAAAACUAGCCCUGGCACCUUCACUAGAGCUUUUGGGUUACUUUCCCACCCAACCGCUGGACAAAUUACAAAACUUAGGGAAGACCAUGUGUACCCUGUCCCUCUCUGAACCUCUUACCUUCAUCCUACAACCACUGUUGUCAUCCUCCACGCACACCAUAUACCUCCUACUGACCUUCAGACAGGUAACCCUGCUGUCAUCCGCUUCCAUUGACAAGAGUCAAAAGUCCAGCAGUAUCCAGGCAGUUCUUUCAAUAGAUGGAAUUUAAUGUAGGCAAUUGGUUACAAAGGUGAUGAAGGGCUGAAAGAAAAAAAGGGGACCAGGGACACUGAUAAUAAUGAACAGGAAGCAGCUACUAUCCCCAGUACUAGGGGAGCAAUGGGAAGGGACUGGGUGUAUCAAGACCUGGAAGUUUGGAGACGGGACCCGCCAGGGCAGAGGUGUUGCCCAGCUGCUGCUGACUGGGACCUCUAGGGAGGCAUGGUGAGGCUGGUUCUGGGAGCUUAAACAGAAGCUGGCAGCUGGAACAAACUUCUGUUGUGCCCAGGACAGGACAAAAUACCACUGUUGGAGCAGCAAGAACUGGAACAAUAACCAGAGAACAGAAAGUCUCCUCUCCUCUCCUCCUUCUCCUCUCCCCUCCUCCUUCUCCUCUCCCCUCCUUCUCCUCUCCCCUCCUCCUUCUCCCCUCCCCUCCUUCUCCCCUCCCCUCCUUCUCCUCUCCCCUCCUUCUCCUCCUCUCCCCUCCUCCUUCUCCUCUCCCCUCCUCCUUCUCCUCUCCCCUCCUCCCUCUCCUCUCCCCUCCUCCUUCUCCUCUCCCCUCCUUCUCCUCUCCUGUCCCCCAGUGUACUCUAAUGGCUAAGAGUCAGCAGCCAAAGGAGAAAUGCCCUUCACAGAAUCCCAGACCUGGCAAGAAUACGAGAAUGGCAUUAGGAGUGAGAGAGGCCCUCACGAACUGCCAGCAGCUGCACAUCCUUCAGGGCUCCAGGAUGUCACCCCAGCCACAGCCCUCACCCCUUGGGAGGCAAGAGAACAUUGAGAGCCGUCAUAGCUCUUAACCUCCUCUCCUAUCGUCGCGCUCCUUCCACCUUUUUCUGCCUGAAGGUUCUUCUAGAGAGAAAGCUCAUGUGGACAGGCCCCUGCACUCCACUCCAGGGACACCCUCAAAGCCAUGCACCUGCCCUUGACACGCCCCCAUCUCGCUUAACUUCUAGCACCGCUUGGAGUGGUUUCCAAGACCUUUGGAGUACUUCGGCUCACUCGUCUUCUGACAGGCCUCCUGCAAGCCCAGCUUCCAGUGGGCAAUGGCCUUUGAGAAGACACCCACUUUCCAGCAUUAGGAAAUGUCCUUUGUCCACCUGAGCUGUUCAGAGCACCCCUGUGCGACUCUCCUGGCUUCUACAGACACCUCCUCCCUCCUCUUUCCAUCCUCCUUGGAGAAGGACCCUCCUUCCUUCUGAGAAUGGCCCAUCCCUCUUGUGCAGGGUCUGGAUUAGGGCUUAAAAUUUUAAGGUGCUGCCAAAACACACAGCAAUCAAGAGAGAUACAAUUUUAACACAUUUUUUAAAAAUCUAAAUUUAUGCCAAAAAUCCUUGAAUAAAAUAUCAAGACUUUAAAUACAGACAGGAUCGGUAUUACCAGUUUUUCCUUUUGCCUUGGGUUCCAAUAUGACCCAGUAUAGCCUUUUUGUUUCAUUGUCGUGAGAUACACGUAACGUAAAAUUUACUGUUUUCACCAUCUCUAAGUGUCCAGUUCCAUGUCGUGAUGUGCGUUUCCGUUGCUGUGCAGCCAUCACCACUGUCUCCUGCACAGCGUUUGUGCGUCUUCCCUCUCAUGGAAUCCUUUCUGCUUUCCUGAUCCUUCCUCAAGCCAAGCACACCCUUCUUCCUGACUCCCAGGACCUCUCAAAUCAGACGCUAGAUUUCUCCCAAGUGUUCUAUCCCAUCCACUUCCCUCCUCACUGGUCAGAAAUGGGCUCAGGGUAGCAGCUCCCGUUGUCAGCUCUGGGCCCUUCUGAGAAGGGGCGACAUCAGCCUGCAUGAAUCUCACCACAGCCGUCUGCGAAGAUGUGGUCCCUCUCUCCACUGGGUCCGCCCUGGUGCCAGGCCUGAGCAGCACAUCAGCAACGUUCCAUCGUGGCCUGCAGCACGGGGAAAAGCCCCACCUGAAGCCCAAAGACCAAAGUCCGUGCCAUUUCCUUGAUUAGCUGCUGAGGGUUUUUUUUUUUUUUUUGAGUCGGAGGUUUGUUCUUGUCGCCCAGGCUGGAGUGCAAUGGCACAAUCUCCGUUCACUGCAACCCCUGCCUCCCGUGUUCAAGCGAUUCUCCUGCCUCAGCCUCUCGGGUAGCUGGGAUUACAGGCAUGCACCACCAUGCCCAGCUAAUUUUGUAUUUUUUAGUAGAGACGGGUUUUCUCCAUGUUGGUCAGGCUGGCCUCGAACUCCCGACCUCAGGUGAUCCACCCGCCUCUGCUUCCCAAAGUGCUGGGAUUACAGGCGUGAUCCACCGUGCCCGGCCAAGAAGGCUUUUUUAAUAACAAGGACAUAAAAAAAGAAAGAAAGAAAAAAGAAAAAGUGUUAGGUAUAGUUGACUUGUGCCUCUGAUUAAAAAUAAGAACAGGGCUUUGUUCAUUCUCUGAGGUGGCCACUUUGGGAAUCCACCAUAAAGUGAUUAGUGAGACAAUUACAGCUGUGACCAAACACAACAAAUUGGUGUUUCAACUUCAGAGUAACAAGAGUUUUUCCCUUACUUUGCUGUUUAUCGAUUCGGUGUACCCUCCCUUCUACCUUAAUGAUUCAUAGUUUAAACUUGUCUACAUGAUUUAUAUAGAGGCUUGGAGACACGUAUUAUUCAGCUCUGGCUCUCAAGCAAACACCCACAGGACCGAGUCCUUCGCCUCUCCCCAGCCC